UGGGGUAUAGCUCAGUGGUAGAGCACUUGCCUAGCAUGUAUGAGGCCCUGGGUUUAAUCCCCAAUACCACAA
rnacentral:tRNA from 1 species